UCCAGCAUCCCCCAGCCCUUUGUGGUGAAGAAUGAUCGCAUCAAAAUCAGCCACGUCUACCUCUCAUGGCACAUCAUGCAGUGCGAACAAAAGGGAUGCCACACAAGCUUGCCGGAAGCUAACUGUGAUAGUGCCUGUGCUCCUAUUCUUUCAGGAAUGUUCUAAUGACGUGGCAGUUCUGGAAUCAUUCAGGGCUUUCAGUCCCUGGCGGAACACUAUAACUAUACAAGGCAUCUUCUAGAUGUUAGAAGACAAUUCAGGAGGGAAGGAAGGUCAACAAGAAAUUUCAACUCCGACCAAGAAAAACAA